rnacentral:rRNA from 1 species
ACGUAGGGUGCAAGCGUUAAUCGGAAUUACUGGGCGUAAAGCGUGCGCAGGCGGCUUUGCAAGACAGAUGUGAAAUCCCCGGGCUCAACCUGGGAACUGCAUUUGUGACUGCAUGGCUGGAGUGCGGCAGAGGGGGAUGGAAUUCCGCGUGUAGCAGUGAAAUGCGUAGAUAUGCGGAGGAACACCGAUGGCGAAGGCAAUCCCCUGGGCCUGCACUGACGCUCAUGCACGAAAGCGUGGGGAGCAAACAGG